GUACGUGAAAUUUGCUUCUGAAAAAGGGUACAAACGCUGCUGACUGGUUGGCUGGCUUACCGUCUGACUUACAGCCCAACUGACCCGCCUACUGAGAGACUGAUUGACUAACUGUGUGGCUGGGGGGCUUUCUGACCUGACACUGGCUGACUGACUGACUGGUUGGAUGGCUAACAGACCAAAUGACUGGCUGAGUGACUUAGAGACUGAACAACUUGCUGGUGCGCUUUUACCAUAAAGCUACUAGUUGUAAGACUCUAGUGAAGUUCUUGAACACUGACAAACAAAUUGUAGUUACUGCUUGUGCCACUGCGGACAGCGAUUCAUCUAUAAAUCAGGACACAAUAUGCAAAGUUUACUGACUGUUUUUGUUACUUAGACGACUGUCUACCAUUAUAGGACCAUUACAGAAACUACGGGUCAUAAAAUUUUCAUUGGUCGACCCACUUUGUUGGGGGGAGGGGGGGACGGUAAAAUGUUUGGAUUGACGCCGUUAACCUUAAGAUAUUAGAGACCUAAAUUAGUCAGGACGGCAACGCCGAGGAAGACGUUUAUAAAAUUAUUUUCUUUCGCGAUUGGUUGGUGUGUUAACCGUCUCUUACGGCGCCACACCAACCUUACCUUCAGCAUGACAUACAUGUAAGUGAGCAGCGUUAAGUUCCAAGUGGAAACUUAAAUAAUUUGCAAGCAAGGUUUCCGUUCUCAGACCACGCAAAUUUUGGUGAUUUCACGUUCUUCUCUUGCAGAGGACGGCUUAGAAAUGUACAAAGUUUUAAGACGCACCUGCUGAGCUAUUGUUCUGCCCACUAGAUGAUGUCUAUCGUGAUUUAGAGUUUCAAGCUGAAAUUACAGGUUUCUUCGACCUCCUAAAGCUGAAUACCAAGGAACACGAUUAUCUUGAGCAUGGGAAAGACAAAUAUCAAUCUUGAAAAGAAAGCUAAAUUGGAUCGACCCCCGAUUCAGAUAAUAAAAUGAAACAUUGGGGUUCGAUCCGUCCACGAUCCCCCACCACACCUGUCUCUAUUAGACAGUUUAGAACAGUUAUCUGCCUUGGAAGGAAAUAAAAAACGAUUCCCUGUUCACCAUCUAACACCACACCCGCCACUUUUAAACAAUUUCCUUGACUCUUGGUAAGAGUCAUCAACCUUGUGAUACAAACAUCAUACAAACAGCACAGCAUUACAGUACAAUCUUUCAAUAUAUAUUACAAUCUUUUUCUCACAUUCUCAUACUACACUAAUAUUACAAUAGUUUUAAUAAAGUUGUUUUUACCCAUCCGACCUCCCCCGCCGCACCCACCUCCCGCAAACAGUUUUCUGAUGUAUUUGUAAAAGUUGUCUACCUUAUGGGAGUAACGUAUAUUUUCAAACGCAUGCGUUUUUUCUGAACCAAAUAUCUGUCUUAAUACACAUGCGCAAGAUAGCCAGCUUUAAUAAAUACUUAAGAAACAGUAUGAGACGGGACGGUGGCGGAUCGGACCCCAAAUUUUACUUCCUUUCUUAGGUUGACCUGAAAGAAGAAAAGAUGUACAUUGGUAAAUCUCUAGAAAUCAAUAAACAUCAUUUGUACUU